rnacentral:misc_RNA from 1 species
UUUCAUAGUUACAUGCUUAAAGAGGAAUGCCUGACUGUACAAUAGUGCAAAAGAGGACCUAGAUUGUGCAAUAGUGCAAAAGAAAGGAAUUAUUUCUGUAAUUGCUCUUUCAUUUGUUCCUAGCAAAAAUGGUCUGGUUUGUUUGCUUUCAAGCAUUUCAGUUAUGGUCAUUAUGUCUUGAUUUAUCAAUCAAUGGUUUAUGCAAUAGGCAUUUGUUGGCCCACUAACGUUCAGGUGAAUGGUGAUAGGUGUCCACUUGGGUAUGAACUAUGGAGUAGCCAUAAAGCUG